rnacentral:misc_RNA from 1 species
UGAACAUCUCAAAAUCAUUGCUUUUGGCGUGAUUUUGGAAAUUUGGGCUUAUUUGUGUUGUGUAAUAAAACACAACUAGCCUGAAAUUGGUGCAAAAUAAAUGCAAGAAAUAAAGUGGACGCUUUGUUGCUAACGACGAAAAGCUUAUUAGUUGACCGUGGUCAAAUUUGCUGACUAGUCUUUACAAACUAAGCUGAUCUGCUUUCACA